UACAGAGGUCUCAAGCGUUGUUCGGAUUCAUUGGGCGUAAAGGGUGCGUAGGUGGUGAGGUAAGUCGGAUGUGAAAUCUCGGAGCUCAACUCCGAAAUGGCAUUGGAAACUACCUUGCUCGAGGGAUGGAGGGGGGGACUGGAAUUCUCGGUGUAGCAGUGAAAUGCGUAGAUAUCGAGAGGAACACCAGUGGCGAAGACGAGUCCCUGGACAUCUCCUGACACUGAGGCACGAAAGCUAGGGGAGCAAACAGG
rnacentral:rRNA from 1 species